rnacentral:rRNA from 1 species
GAUGAACGCUGGCGGCGUGCCUAAUACAUGCAAGUCGAACGAACAGACGAGGACCUUGCUCUUCUGACGUUAGCGGCGGACGGGUGAGUAACAUGUGGAUAACCUACCUAUAAGACGGGGAUAACUCCGGAACACCGGUGCUACUACCGAAUAAUAUCUUGAACCGCAGGGUUCAAUACUGAAAGACGGCUUUGGUGUUACUUAUAGAUGGAUCCGCUCCGAAUUGGCUGGUUGGUAGGGUAACGGCUUGCCAAGGGACCGAUGGGUAGCCGACCUGAGGGAGGAACAGGCCAAACGGGACUGAGACACCGGCCAGACUCCUAAGGGAGGGAAGAGUGGGGAAUUUUGGACAAUGGGGGGAAACCUGAACGAGGCAUGGCGGGUGGGUGAAGGAGGCCCUCCGGUUCGAAAACCCUUUUUAUUGGAAAGAAACAAAUGUGUAUAUUACAGUGCGGGUCUGAAGGUAACGGAAGAAGAAGGACCGGCUAACUUCGGG